UGAAUUAAAAUAAAACAACAUAAAAAUAUCGAAUAUCAAAAUACGGGAAUCAUAUUGCCCAUCCCUAUUCCUAUCCCGCAAAACACCCGUAACGUACCGUUGACAUCUGCGCUGUCAAGCGCCAGUUCACCACCACUAUCUCAAGCGUCAACCAACACGAGCCGAAGGAAACCGUUAAAAACAUCCGAGCAACGAAAAACCAGGUCUCUACCAGUGAUCCGCCAGCUCGACACCUCCGGGACGCCAUUGCUUCCGUCGAGAGUGACGCCCACGUGAAAGACGGCACCUGCUAUCAGUGACCUGUGAAAAAUCGGUCAUCAUUUUCGACCAAAGUGACGCCAAGCCGAAUUGCGUAGAGGAAACCGGAGAGAUUAGCGGAAACACGACCGUAGUGAAGUGAAGUUCCUUUUCCUGACCAUUACUGUGAAGUGCCGGAUUCCCACGGAAUUCUUAUUCGAUCCCGUAAAAAAGCAUCUUCGCCGCUGGGAAACAAGGCCCGUUCGGCCGUCGUCAAGAAGAAGACUGCCAUCUCAAGACCAACAACCCAGAGGAAGUUCGAACCGCUACUGAUCCAGGUCGAAAGGAACUCUGUCUCGCGGCUACCAACAUCACGGCCGUCGGAUUGACACGUCACACGGGCAACACCAAUUGCAUGUUUCAUCUCUGGUCACAUGAUGCCACCCCCUAUUCGGACCGAAUCGUCGCAACCGGAAUGAGGUCCGCAGAACGAAACCUCGCCGCAUGCCGAUGUCCCGGCAGCCAUCUUCGUCGUGGCCUGGCAUCCUGGAAAUUGUUAAAGGUGUGUACCUAUUCUCCUAUUAUCCACAUUCCUUAAAGGCACUCCGUUUGGAGACAAUUAUAAUUGAAAAGUAAAGAAAUGAAACUAUAAUUAAAGCGCAUUAUAAUGGUAACGUAA